rnacentral:rRNA from 1 species
AACGAACGCUGGCGGCGUGCUUAACACAUGCAAGUCGAACGCGAAAGGGACUUCGGUCCUGAGUAAAGUGGCGCACGGGUGAGUAACGCGUGGAUAAUCUGCCCAAUGGACCGGGAUAACAUCUCGAAAGGGGUGCUAAUACCGGAUAAGACCACGGAGUCUUCGGACUCUGCGGUAAAAGGUGGGGACCUUCGGGCCUACCGGCAUUGGAUGAGUCCGCGUACCAUUAGCUAGUUGGUGGGGUAAAGGCCUACCAAGGCGACGAUGGUUAGCUGGUCUGAGAGGAUGAUCAGCCACACUGGAACUGAGACACGGUCCAGACUCCUACGGGAGGCAGCAGUGGGGAAUUUUGCGCAAUGGGGGAAACCCUGACGCAGCAACGCCGCGUGAGUGAUGAAGGCCUUCGGGUCGUAAAGCUCUGACAGAGGGGAAGAAAUGUAGCGGUGCUAAUAUCGCCGUUACUUGACGGUACCCUCAAAGGAAGCACCGGCUAACUCCGUGCCAGCCGCCGCCGUAAUAC